GUUUAAGGGAAUUCUCCAGGGGGUUGGCUUACAUUGGGUGGGGUGUGCCUCUUUUGCCAGGUCAUUGCUGGUGUGUGGGAAACUGUCCUAAACCUCUCUUCCCUUUUUGGUAGGUAAUAAUCCCACUCUUGGACCUUUCAAGGAUUAAAUGAGAUGUGGUGGGUAAAACAUUUAACAGUAGGUCCAGAUUAGUUAGUAUGGUAACCCCCAAAUUAUUGCUAAUGUAGUUUGGAGAUUAAGGGGAUUUGAUCUGUAGCGUUUUGUCCCCACCUGCUGAGCUGCCUGGGUUACAUGUCAUACAGCUCAAGUUCUGAGCCCAGUGAAAUGAGUAAGAUGUAAUAUUCAUUCCUCCGCCCUUUUAGGCACAAGGCUUCCGGGUUUGUAGGGAGCCUCAGGCAUUUGGAGUUCAAGAUCUGUUUGCUUUAUGUCCCUUUGGGAUAUGGAGGUGAGAGGGGGCUGCUUCCUGAGAUUGGUGCACGGGCCCUGCUGUGCUUGCCAGGAAGCCCUGAGAAAAACUUGGUGUCUGAAAACUGGGAAAGUCAGGAAAAGUCAGAGUGCGGCAGUUGUCACCACCAGGGCUGGUGUCUUCCUCUUCUCUCCCUAAGGUGGCCAUUUCAGCCUUACUGUGCCUUUGCAAGGAGGUCAGGGUGGCAGGUUUGCAGAUCCUUUGGGCACAAACAGUCACUCAGCUAUCAG
rnacentral:lncRNA from 1 species